rnacentral:rRNA from 1 species
GGGGCAUCCCACGGGUGUUAAAAGGAAGUGAUUCCGGCGGAGGAUGGGCAUGCGGCGCAUUAGCUGAUUGGCGGGGUAACGGCCCACCAAGGCGACGAUGCGUAGGGGUUCUGAGAGGAAGGUCCCCCACACUGGUACUGAGACACGGACCAGACUCCUACGGGAGGCAGCAGUGAGGAAUAUUGGUCAAUGGGCGGGAGCCUGAACCAGCCAAGUCGCGUGAGGGAAGACGGUCCUAUGGAUUGUAAACCUCUUUAGGCGGGGAGCAAUGCCGGGCACGCGUGCCCGGAGGGAGAGUACCCGCAGAAUAAGCAUCGGCUAACUCCGUGCCAGCAGCCGCGGUAAUACGGAGGAUGCGAGCGUUAUCCGGAUUUAUUGGGUUUAAAGGGUGCGUAGGCGGAUUUUUAAGUCAGCGGUAAAAUGUCCGGGCUCAACCCGGGCCGGCCGUUGAAACUGGGGAUCUUGAGUGGGCGAGAAGUAUGCGGAAUGCGUGGUGUAGCGGUGAAAUGCAUAGAUAUCACGCAGAACUCCGAUUGCGAAGGCAGCAUACCGGCGCCCGACUGACGCUGAGGCACGAAAGCGUGGGGAUCGAACAGGAUUAGAUACCCUGGUAGUCCACGCAGUAAACGAUGAAUGCUAGUUGU